rnacentral:rRNA from 1 species
CAGCCACCGCGGUCAUACGAUUAACCCAAGCUAACAGGAGUACGGCGUAAAACGUGUUAAAGCACCAUACCAAAUAGGGUUAAAUUCUAACUAAGCUGUAAAAA